UACGGAGGGUGCAAGCGUUAUCCGGAUUCACUGGGUUUAAAGGGUGCGUAGGCGGGCAUUUAAGUCAGUGGUGAAAUACCUGAGCUUAACUUGGGAACUGCCAUUGAUACUAUUUGUCUUGAAUGUCGUGGAGGUUAGCGGAAUAUGUCAUGUAGCGGUGAAAUGCUUAGAUAUGACAUAGAACACCGAUUGCGAAGGCAGCUAACUACGCGAAUAUUGACGCUGAGGCACGAAAGCGUGGGGAUCAAACAGG
rnacentral:rRNA from 1 species